rnacentral:rRNA from 1 species
CGGUAUCUUGACCGUGCAAAGGUAGCAUAAUCACUUGUCUCCUAAAUAGAGACUGGUAUGAACGGCAAGACGGAGCUAAACUGUCUCUUUUUUUAGCCCUUAAAUUUACUUUCACGUGAAGAGGCGUGAAUAAAAUCGAUAGACGAGAAGACCCUGUCGAGCUUAAAGUAAAAAGUAAAAUUAUUAUUAGGAGUUAAAAAUCUCUAAUUAAUAACUUUAAGAAAUUGAAUUCUUUUAUGUUUACUUUAACUUUGGUUGGGGCAACCGCGGAAAAAGAAAACCUUCCGCUAGUAUAACUAUUAAACUAAGGAAAACCAUCCUAUUAUCUAAAACGAACACGUGAUCCACUUAAGGUGAUCAAAGGAACAAGUUACCGCAGGGAUAACAGCGUUAUCUUUUUUGAGAGUUCACAUUGACAAAAAGGUUUGCGACCUCGAUGUUGGAUCGGGACAUCCCAAGGGU